GACGUAGGGCGCGAGCGUUGUCCGGAUUAUUGGGCGUAAAGAGCUCGUAGGCGGCGUGUCGCGUCGGCCGUGAAAACCUGCAGCUUAACUGUGGGCUUGCGGUCGAUACGGGCAUCACUGGAGUUCGGCAGGGGAGACUGGAAUUCCUGGCGUAGCGGUGAAAUGCGCAGAUAUCAGGAGGAACACCGGUGGCGAAGGCGGGUCUCUGGGCCGAUACUGACGCUGGAGGAGCGAAA
rnacentral:rRNA from 1 species